GUUGAUGCAGGGCUGACUUGGGACAAACUUAUGAACUGAAACCGUAUGUCUUCCAUGAGCUGAAAUGAAGCAUAUAGAAUUCCGAGCUCGGUAUUUUCAAGUGGUAUUGGAGCUGACUUUCAUUCAACUCGUACUGAACCGACCUCAUGUUGAUAGCAAUGGUACGGUAAGGUUCGGAUGUGAUUUGAAAGGCGUAUUGAGGGGCAUGACAUGGUGUGGAUAGGAAUGAUGAAACUGAAGAUGGUUUUUAACUAAAGACAUGGUUUAGAAUAGGCUUCCAACAUUGUGUCUUUAAAUUUUGUGAAGAUGUAAGGAUACUUUGGUGGGAUUGGAACGGUCGAAUGUAUUUGUAUUUUGAAAUUGGUUUCUGAAUUUUGUAAAGGGUUUUCUUUUAAUGACUUUUC